GGGGAUUUAGCUCAGUGGUAGAGCGUUUGCCUAGCAAGUACAAGGCCCUGGGUUCGGUCCUCAGCUCCA
rfam:Rattus norvegicus chromosome 12, whole genome shotgun sequence.